AUGAGGCGGUGCUGUCUAGGUGACUGUGAGGGUCCCCUGCAGCCAUGCACGCCAGCCCCCGGCUCCCGGAGCACAGUACGUGGGGUCAUUAAGUGCCGGUACUGCAGGAGGGGAAGGGGACCGCGGAGCAAAGUGGCCCGGAGCCUCCGAACCCAGUACAGACCCUCUCCCACGCACCCCCUUCCCGGCCCGGAGGAACCCUACCGACCUGCCCCCGGGGGUUGCAAAACCCGGAGCGGAUUCUCGGAAUGGGUUCUGGGAGGAGCGCUCCCGGAGGGAGGAGGAAAACCCGGGCAGGAUCCGCGGCAGGAGCGGGGCCCCACGGCCCCUCGGCCCCCAGCCCUGCCCCGCGCGCCCGGCGGGCCCAGGGGGUUUGAAGCCCCGCUGCGCCGCGGGGAAGGAGCCGGGCCGGGCCCCGCGGGCCGCCCGGGGCCCGGGGCUCGGGGGCCGGGGGGGGGGGGCGCGGCCUCCGCACUGGGGCGCGGGUCACGUGUGAGGAGGGGCGAAAGUCUCGCAAAGCGGGGCGGCGUGCCGCGAGUUGGGAGUUCUCGGCGCGCCGCGGGCGGCGGGAGCUCGGGCUCCCGGGCGAGCCGGGGACGCGGCGGAGGCGCGGGCCUGGGUCCGAGACAGCGGGGGCCGCACCGAGAGUGGGAGGGAGGGAGAGACACGCAGAAGGACAGACGGCGCCCGGGAGGAGGACAGAGAGAGACGCGCAGGGGAGACCGAGACAGGGCAGAGGCGGAGGGAGGCAGGGGAGGCUCUGGGAGGGCGGCGGGCAGCAGACCGAGCCCCCGCCGGGAGACACGGGAGGCGGGCUCGGGGACCGAGGGGCGGACGGACAGACGCACGGAGACCCCGGGGGCAGCCCGGCGGGCGGCGGCGGGUCCCGGGCCGGCCGGCCGGCCGAGGGCUUCCCGGGGCCGGGGCGGGGAGCGGGGAGCGGGGAGCGGGGAGCGGAGCGCGGGGCGGGGAGCGGAGCGCGGGGCGGGGAGCGGCGCGGAGAGACAGCGCGACGGCAGCGGGGGGGCGGCGGAGGGCCGGCGGCUGCGGCGGGGGCGGGGGGCGCGAGCGCGGGCGGCCGAGGCCAUGGGCCCCCGGAUCCCCGCGCCCUGA
rnacentral:lncRNA from 1 species